rnacentral:rRNA from 1 species
AUGAAGAAAGCACAAGAGAAGCUUGGGCCAUUGUUGGGACGAAAUCCUGGCUUGUCUAAAGAUUUCAACAAUUGUGUUGACUUUAGCUUUACACCACAGGAGUUUGAGGCAGGUUGGUGUGAGCUGAUGAUGAAGUAUGAGGCUAUGACUGACUCCCACUUUGAGAAUCUAUACAAGUACCGAGAAACAUGGGUGCCCUGUUACUUCAAGCAUCAAUUCUUCCCUUUCUUGCGGUCAACACAACGCAGUGAGGGGUUCAACGCUGUCCUUAAGCGUUAUGUGAACCCACACAAGUCCAUCUUGAACUUCGUGAAGCAAUAUCAGAAAAUCCAAACACACAUACUAGUUCGAGAGGGUGCGAAGGAUUACAGGACAGGACAUUUGCAAAGUGAAAUGUGGUCAUCUUACCCAAUUGAAAAGCAAGCCUACAAUUCAUACACUAGAGACUUGUACGAGAAAUUCCGCGAUGAAUUUCAGUUGACUACAAGGUACAACGUGCGACCCCACGGUGAACACUUGUAUGAGCUUUACCCCAAUCAAGAAUGGGUUGCUAAGUAUGGUUCUAGGAGCUAUUUUGUGACUGUUGAAACUAGUGUUGGAGACUACAGAUGUGAGUGUUGCAAGUUUCAUAAGGAUGGGAUGCUUUGCUGCCAUAUAUUGAAGGUUUUCAACCAUCUUGGGGUUGAUGAAAUCCCAACGCAGUACAUCAAAAGAAGAUGGACACCUCUAGCAAUCACGGAUGCACCGCCUGCUGUUGAGGAUAAGCCUGAUGAGUUGCUGGAACAAUCGAAGAAAGAACUCCGUCAUGCAAACUUGAUGAUGGACUUUGGUGGACUUGCUAAGGUUGCUAGUGCAUCGGAUGCUGCGACAAAUAUUGUAAAGAAGCAUAUGCGUGGAGCGCGUCAC